UACGGGGGGGGCGAGCGUUGUUCGGAAUUACUGGGCGUAAAGGGCUUGUAGGUGGCCUGGUAAGUCAGACGUGAAAUCCCUCAGCUCAACUGAGGAGCUGCCUCGGAUACUGCAGGGCUUGAGGCCGGGAGAGGGUAGUGGAAUUCCCAGUGUAGCGGUGAAAUGCGUAGAUAUUGGGAGGAACACCGGUGGCGAAGGCGGCUACCUGGACCGGUUCUGACGCUGAUGCGCGAAAGCGUGGGGAGCAAACAGG
rnacentral:rRNA from 1 species